UCCGCCGUUAGUUGUAUUCUUC
rnacentral:miRNA from 1 species